AACGAACGCUGGCGGCGUGCCUAACACAUGCAAGUCGAGCGAGAAAGUCCCUUCGGGGGCGAGUAGAGCGGCGGACGGGUGAGUAAUACAUGGGUAAUCUACCUUCGAGGUCGGGAUAACCCUGCGAAAGCGGAGCUAAUACCGGAUAAGACCACAUGGCUGAGGCCACGGGGUAAAAGGUGGCUUGUAUUCGUACACGCUAUCACUUGAGGAUGGGCCCAUGGCCUAUCAGCUUGUUGGUGAGGUAAGAGCUCACCAAGGCUAUGACGGGUAGCUGGUCUGAGAGGACGACCAGCCACACUGGGACUGAGACACGGCCCAGACUCCUACGGGAGGCAG
rnacentral:rRNA from 1 species